rnacentral:rRNA from 1 species
CCUACGGGAGGCAGCAGUGAGGAAUAUUGGUCAAUGGGCGCGAGCCUGAACCAGCCAAGUAGCGUGAAGGAUGACUGCCCUACGGGUUGUAAACUUCUUUUAUAAAGGAAUAAAGUGAGGCACGUGUGCCUUUUUGUAUGUACUUUAUGAAUAAGGAUCGGCUAACUCCGUGCCAGCAGCCGCGGUAAUACGGAGGAUCCGAGCGUUAUCCGGAUUUAUUGGGUUUAAAGGGAGCGUAGAUGGGUUGUUAAGUCAGUUGUGAAAGUUUGCGGCUCAACCGUAAAAGUGCAAUUGAAACUGGCAGCCUUGAGGACAGGUGAGGUAGGCGGAAUUCGCGGUGUAGCGGUGAAAUGCUUAGAUAUCACGAAGAACUCCGAUUGCGAAGGCAGCUUACUAAACGGCAACUGACAUUGAUGCUCGAAAGUGUGGGUAUCAAACAGGAUUAGAUACCCGAGUAGUC